UUGGGGUUUUCUGACUAAAGGGGAGAGAAUGGCUUUUCCUGACCUAGGCAGAGAGAGAGACCUUUGUGGCUUUUGACAGUCUGGACUUGAAUUACUCAAGCAGAGAUUAUCUGACUAAAGAAAGAAGAAAAGAAGAAAGAUACUUGUACUCCAAACUUUCUGAUUGUUCCUGAGUCAUAGCUGUGGCUAGGUGAUAACAAAAUGUAAAUUAAGAAUGGACAGUCCUUUGGAAAACGUCUACUGUGAUUGGUAGAUGUAAGGACUUAGGGGAGGUGACAUAGGAGAAAUUGCCCUUUAAAAGGAGACGAAAAACUCUCUCUGAAAACAGUUAACUGGGAAAGGCUGCCUUGAAGGGUCUCUCUCGAGACUCUCUCGGGGACAUUCAGAUUGAGGAUUGAACUGGUGAAGUCAGCUGAGAUGGAGCUGGCCUGGUGUCACUAGAAUCCUUGCUUAGACAGAUCUUGUGGUUAUCCAGUACCAGGAAGAGGAAUUUGAUCAUGGAUCAAAAUAACAACGCAGGAGAUAAGGAAAAUAUUGUCCUCUUUGGGAAAACAAAGAAUGCAAGGUCUCUCUGAAAUACUU
rnacentral:lncRNA from 1 species